rnacentral:rRNA from 2 species
GAUGAACGCUGGCGGUAUGCUUACCACAUGCAAGUCGAACGGUCUCUUCGGAGAUAGUGGUGGACGGGUGAGUAACGCGUGAGAACAUGCCUAUCGAUUGGGGACAACAGUUGGAAACGACUGCUAAUACCGAAUGUGCCUUAGGGUGAAAGAUUUAUCGUCGAUAGAUUGGCUCGCGUCAGAUUAGCUAGUUGGUGAGGUAAGGGCUCACCAAGGCGACGAUCUGUAACUGGUCUGAGAGGAUGACCAGUCACACUGGAACUGAGACACGGUCCAGACUCCUACGGGAGGCAGCAGUGGGGAAUUUUCCGCAAUGGGCGAAAGCCUGACGGAGCAAUACCGCGUGUGGGAGGACGCUUUUUGGAGUGUAAACCACUUUUAUUAGGGAAGAAGAACUGACGGUACCUAAUGAAUCAGCAUCGGCUAACUCCGUGCCAGCAGCCGCGGUAAUACGGGGGAUGCAAGCGUUAUCCGGAAUUAUUGGGCGUAAAGCGUCCGUAGGUGGCUUAUCAAGUCUGUUGUCAAAGCGUGCGGCUCAACCGCAUACGGGCGAUGGAAACUGAUGAGCUAGAGUGCGAUAGGGGUCAGGGGAAUUCCCGGUGUAGCGGUGAAAUGCGUAGAUAUCGGGAAGAACACCAGUGGCGAAAGCGCCUGACUGGGUCUGCACUGACACUGAGGGACGAAAGCUAGGGGAGCGAAAGGGAUUAGAUACCCCUGUAGUCCUAGCUGUAAACGAUGACAACUAGGUGUGGUUCGUAUCGACCCGAGCCGUGCCGUAGCCAACGCGUUAAGUUGUCCGCCUGGGGAGUACGCACGCAAGUGUGAAACUCAAAGGAAUUGACGGGGGCCCGCACAAGCGGUGGAGUAUGUGGUUUAAUUCGAUGCAACGCGAAGAACCUUACCAAGGCUUGACAUCCUCGGAACCCUGAUGAAAGUUAGGGGUGCCUUCGGGAGCCGAGAGACAGGUGGUGCAUGGCUGUCGUCAGCUCGUGUCGUGAGAUGUUGGGUUAAGUCCCGCAACGAGCGCAACCCACGUUUUUAGUUGCCAGCAUUCAGUUGGGCACUCUAGAGAGACUGCCGGUGACAAACCGGAGGAAGGUGUGGAUGACGUCAAGUCAGCAUGCCCCAUACGCCUUGGGCUACACACGUACUACAAUGCUUCGGACAAAGGGCAGCCAGACCGCGAGGUUGAGCCAAUCCCAUAAACCGAGGCACAGUUCAGAUUGCAGGCUGCAACUCGCCUGCAUGAAGGCGGAAUCGCUAGUAAUCGCAGGUCAGCAUACUGCGGUGAAUACGUUCCCGGGCCUUGUACACACCGCCCGUCACACCAUGGGAGUUGGUCAUGCCCGAAGUCGUUACUCCAACCGUUCGCGGAGGAGGACGCCGAAGGUGGGGCCGAUGACUGGGGUGAA